rnacentral:rRNA from 1 species
GACGUAGGGCGCGAGCGUUGUCCGGAUUUAUUGGGCGUAAAGAGCUCGUAGGCGGCUUGUCGCGUCGGAUGUGAAAACCCACAGCUCAACUGUGGGCUUGCAUCCGAUACGGGCAGGCUAGAGUUCGGUAGGGGAGACUGGAAUUCCUGGUGUAGCGGUGAAAUGCGCAGAUAUCAGGAGGAACACCGGUGGCGAAGGCGGGUCUCUGGGCCGAUACUGACGCUGAGGAGCGAAAGCGUGGGGGAGCGAACAGG